rnacentral:sRNA from 1 species
UACCAUACAGAGAAGAUUAUUAGCAUGGCCCCUGAGCAAGGAUAACAUGCAAAUUCAUGAAGUGUUCCAUAUUUUA